UACGGAGGAUCCAAGCGUUAUCCGGAAUCAUUGGGUUUAAAGGGUCCGUAGGCGGGUAGGUCAGUCAGUGGUGAAAGUCUGCAGCUCAACUGUGGAAUUGCCAUUGAUACUGCUUACCUUGAGUAAUUAUGAAGUGGUUAGAAUAUGUAGUGUAGCGGUGAAAUGCAUAGAUAUUACAUAGAAUACCGAUUGCGAAGGCAGAUCACUAAUAAUUCACUGACGCUGAUGGACGAAAGCGUAGGUAGCGAACAGG
rnacentral:misc_RNA from 1 species